rnacentral:ncRNA from 1 species
UUAAAAACUAUGAUGAGAAGAGUAAAUAGCCAAAUUUUUCUACAGAGAGCUUCCGUUGCUGAGAGGAAGUGAAAGAUUAUCUAUUGAAAAAAGCCUCUGAGUUGUGCAUUGAACCUUAGUUUACUUAAGGGGAUGAUGUAACGGGAGCUCCCGUUAUAGAGCUAGAGUAUAAUCUUUUUUUAAAAGCCGUACUUGAAAAGGUUAAUAUGGUGACAUAUUAACGAACUGGGGUGGUACCACGAAGUAAGUAGCUCUCGUCCCCAAG